rnacentral:rRNA from 1 species
UACAGAGGGUGCGAGCGUUAAUCGGAAUUACUGGGCGUAAAGCGUGCGUAGACGGCUAUCUAAGUCGGGUGUGAAAGCCCCGGGCUCAACCUGGGAAUUGCAUUCGAGACUGAAUAGCUAGGGUACGGUAGAGGGAAGCGGAAUUUCCGGUGUAGCGGUGAAAUGCGUAGAUAUCGGAAGGAACAUCAGUGGCGAAGGCGGCGCUCUGGGCUGGAACUGACGCUGAGGAGCGAAAGCGUGGGGAGCGAACAGG